CCUGUCGCUGGCGCCGCUGCUGGUAGGGGGACGAGGAGUCUCUCGGCUCCUCUCCGUGGCUUCCCCUCGCCGCGGCGCAGCUGCCGGCGGGCGGCGUAGGCCACUUAGCCUCCCUCGCCGUGGCCAGGGGUGGACGGUAUUUCAUUUACCGUCCACCCCCAGGUAGCUGUGAGCCGUUGAAUCAUCAACUCACGGUUGAGAUUAAUCAAGGGAGCCCCAAUACCAAGGGGUGGUUGAAUGGGACCGGGGGCUUCGCCGCCCUCUCGUCGUCCCGCGACCCGCCGGCCGCCGCGCUGCUUCACCGGCCUCUACGCCGUCCUCCGGCGAGAUCCGAUACCGCACUAGAUUAAGUUCAUCCUGACGCUCUUCUUCGCCGCCCUUGCCGCCGCCUUCUGGCGACGGCGAGCUCCCGAGGGCCGAGCGAGGCUUGCAUGAACUCGCGCGCUCGACGCGUGCACACCGGCACUGAGAUUAAGCAAGGGAGACCCCAUACGAACGUCGAACGGGGCUGUUCCUGUUAGAAUGGGACACAGCGCUUCGCCCGUUCGCCGCCCUCCGGCGAGCUCCCGUCCGGCACCAGAUUACUGAAGCUCAGUGCUAGGUCCCGUCAUCCUGCUUCGCCGCCCUUGCCGCCGCCGUCCGGCGACGGUGAGCUCCCGAGAGCCGAGCAAGGCUUGCACGAACGCGCACGCUCGAUUGCCAAUCAAGUAGCUCCUCGUCAUCCUGGCACGCCGCUUCGCCGCCACGUUCCGGCUUAUUAACGUUAGCAGGUGUAUGAACACGAGCUCAGGGAAACUGAAC
rnacentral:lncRNA from 1 species